ACCGCGAUAGCUCAGCUGGUAGAGCAUCUGCCUGACAUGCGGAGGGGUGCCGCUUCGAUUCCGGCUCGCGGCG
rnacentral:tRNA from 1 species